CAUUACAGAAGGUAAACGCGGAUCAAACCGCGAACUUCUAAACCUUUGACGAUCGACUCAUGUUGCCUCGGCGGGUGCUCCCGCCAGAGGAUACAUCAAAACUCAUGUUUUAACGGUGUUGUCUGAGCUACAAGCAACGAAUCAAAACUUUCAACAACGGAUCUCUUGGUUCUGGCAUCGAUGAAGAACGCAGCGAAAUGCGAUAAGUAGUGUGAAUUGCAGAAUUCAGUGAAUCAUCGAAUCUUUGAACGCACAUUGCGCCCCUUGGUAUCCCGAGGGGCAUGCCUGUUCGAGCGUCAUUUCGCCACUCAAGCCUGGCUUGGUGUUGGGCGACGUCCCCUUUGGGGACGCGCCUCGAAACGCUCGGCGGCGUGGCACCGGCUUUAAGCGUAGCAGAAUCUUUCGCUUUGAAAGUCGGGGCCCCGUCUGCCGGAAGACCUACUCGCAAGGUUGACCUCGGAUCAGGCAGGGAUACCC
rnacentral:rRNA from 1 species